AGUGAACGCUGGCGGUAGGCCUAACACAUGCAAGUCGAACGGCAGCACCGUAAGAGCUUGCUCUUACGGGUGGCGAGUGGCGGACGGUUGCGGAAUACAUCGGAAUCUACUUUUUCGUGGGGGAUAACGUAGGGAAACUUACUCUAAUACCGCAUACGACCUACGGGUGAAAGCAGGGGAUCUUCGGACCUUGCGCGAUUGGAUGAGCCCAUAUCGGAUUAGCUAGUUGGCAGGGUAAAGGCCCACCAAGGCGACGAUCCGUAGCUGGUCUGAGAGGAAGAUCAGCCACGCUGGGACUGAGACGCGGCCCAGACUCCUACGGGAGGCAGCAGUGGGGAAUAUUGCACAAUGGGGGAAAGCAUGAUCCAGCAAUGCCGCGGGAGUCAUGAAGGCCGUAGGGAUGUAAAGCUCUUUUACCCGGGACGAUAAUGACAGUACCGGGAGAAUAAGCACCGGCUAACUCCGUG
rnacentral:rRNA from 1 species